CACACACACACACAAACACACAAACACCCCUGUGUGUGACACACUUAUGUACAUAAACAUACAUUUUCUACUGAUAUGGCAUAUUGUAUAAGUUUAUCUCCAGAAUAUGCCAUAUUCCCUUAGUCAUCGUUGGGUCUCCCAAGUGGUUUCACAACUUGGAGGAUCUGACAGAGGGUACAGAACUUCUACGCUCUCCAAUCUAACUUUUAGAGAUCACGGACCUUUCUGCAGAACAAGGUCGGACUAUACAUAUCUGGCAGUAGUGUCUAGGAAAUCGAAAUCAGUCAGCAUUAGACAACAGCAUAGUGAUUAUUUCAGAUGACGAGUGUCUUGAAACAUCAGCGCAAGGCUUAAGAACAACAGAACGAUCUGACUCGGACCCAAGGCCUACCGCUUCAGUUCAUCCGUGACCUAAACCAAUUCCUCGAAUUGCGGAAGUGAGUGAUACUGAUGAAGAACAAGAAGACACAGGCCACGUUUUCGACGGAGGAGAAAAUAACAUCGAUCAAGCGGCUGCAUAUCCUGAGGAGUGUUUCAUCACAUUGAACGGAUUCUUUCGACUAAGAGACGAAAUAUUUGGAAGCUUUGAGCGUCUGUUCAAUACACUUGACAACACUUCAGAUGCCAAAGCUGAAGAGAUCCUGAAUGUGGCAUGAGCCAAUGAACAACAAAAUGUUUUUCAGAUUCACUAACCAAAAAGAAAAGAGCACACGGUGAUUGACUAGGAUAGCGAAACUCUGGACAGCAGUAAAGAUACAAGACUGCCCAAAGCAACAACUAUCCCCAUCCCUCUGGCAUGAUGAUGAGACCAUAUCCAGGGAUGCAAAUCAACAGCCUCCAAUGGAGGUAACUUUCAAAGCUGCAGUUUGUGUAGGCAUUUUUCUCAUCAUUUGCCAAUGCAUUGUUAUGAUGUAUGUUUUCCAUAUUGAGGUGCCAGAUUGCAGAUACUUCAAUAAUCAGUGUAGGAUGUUCCCAUUAACUGUGAUGGUUCCUGAAUGCCUCUGCU